rnacentral:rRNA from 1 species
GAUGAACGCUAGCGGCAGGCCUAAUACAUGCAAGUCGAACGGUGUCUUCGGACAUAGUGGCGCUCGGGUGCGUAACACGUAUGCAACCUACCUUACAUUGGGGGAUAGCCUUUUGAAAGGGAGAUUAAUACCGCAUAAGACAGUAGCUGGGCAUCCAGCAGCUGUUAAAGAUUUAUCGAUGUAAGCUGGGCAUGCGUCCAAUUAGCUAGUUGGUGAGGUAACGGCUCACCAAGGCAAUGAUUGGUAGGGGAACUGAGAGGUCAAUCCCCCACACUGGCACUGAGAUACGGGCCAGACUCCUACGGGAGGCAGUAGUAGGGAAUAUUGGGCAAUGGACGCAAGUCUGACCCAGCCAUGCCGCGUGCAGGAUGAAGGCGUUAUGCGUUGUAAACUGCUUUUAUACAGGAAGAAACGACUCUUGCGAGAGGCAUUGACGGUACUGUAUGAAUAAGCACCGGCUAACUCCGUGCCAGCCGCCGCCGUAAGAC